rnacentral:rRNA from 1 species
UACGAGGGGGCCGAGCGUUGUUCGGAAUUAUUGGGCGUAAAGGGUGCGUAGGCGGCCUGACAAGUCUGAUGUGAAAUCCCUGGGCUCAACCCAGGGCCUGCAUCGGAAACUGUCGGGCUUGAGUAUGGGAGAGGUGAGUGGAAUUUCCGGUGUAGCGGUGAAAUGCGUAGAUAUCGGAAGGAACACCUGUGGCGAAAAGCGGCUCACUGGACCAUUACUGACGCUGAGGCACGAAAGCUAGGGGAGCAAACAGG